GGGCCUGCGGCGCAUUAGUUAGUUGGUGAGGUGAGAGCUCACCAAGACGAUGAUGCGUAGCCGGACUGAGAGGUUGAACGGCCACAUUGGGACUGAGAGACGGCCCAAACUCCUACGGGAGGCAGCAGUAGGGAAUUUUCGGCAAUGGAGGAAACUCUGACCGAGCAACGCCGCGUGAAUGACGAAGUACUUCGGUAUGUAAAGUUCUUUUAUCAAGGAAGUGACGGUACUUGAUGAAUAAGCCCCGGCUAACUAUGUGCCAGCAGCCGCGGUAAUACAUAGGGGGCAAGCGUUAUCCGGAAUUAUUGGGCGUAAAGGGUGCGUAGGCGGUCAUUUAAGUCUUUGGUGUAAGUGCAAGGCUCAACCUGUGAUGCUAAGGAAACUGGAUGACUUGAGUGUGAUAGAGGUAAGUGGAAUUCCAUGUGUAGCGGUAAAAUGCGUAAAU
rnacentral:rRNA from 1 species